CAGUCGCCGCGGGAAAACGUAGGUGGCAAGCGUUGUCCGGAAUUAUUGGGCGUAAAGCGCGCGCAGGUGGUUUAAUAAGUCUGAUGUGAAAGCCCACGGCUCAACCGUGGAGGGUCAUUGGAAACUGUUAAACUUGAGUGCAGGAGAGAAAAGUGGAAUUCCUAGUAUAGCGGUGAAAUGCGUGGAGAUUAGGAGGAACACCAGUGGCGAAGGCGGCUUUUUGGCCUGUAACUGACACUGAGGCGCGAAAGCGUGGGGAGCAAACAGGAUUAGAUACCCCCGUAGUCCCUGUCUCUUAUAC
rnacentral:rRNA from 1 species